rnacentral:rRNA from 1 species
AUUGAACGCUGGCGGCAGGCUUAACACAUGCAAGUCGAGCGGAGCGAGGGUGCUUGCACCUUAGCUUAGCGGCGGACGGGUGAGUAAUGCUUAGGAAUCUGCCCAUUAGUGGGGGACAACAUUCCGAAAGGAAUGCUAAUACCGCAUACGCCCUACGGGGGAAAGCAGGGGAUCUUCGGACCUUGCGCUAAUAGAUGAGCCUAAGUCGGAUUAGCUAGUUGGUGGGGUAAAGGCCUACCAAGGCGACGAUCUGUGGCGGGUCUGAGAGGAUGAUCCGCCACACUGGGACUGAGACACGGCCCAGACUCCUACGGGAGGCAGCAGUGGGGAAUAUUGGUCAAUGGGCGGAAGCCUGAUCCAGCCAUGCCGCGUGUGUGAAGAAGGCCUUUUGGUUGUAAAGCACUUUAAGCGAGGAGGAGGCUCUUAAGGUUAAUACCCUUGAUGAGUGGACGUUACUCGCAGAAUAAGCACCGGCUAACUCUGUGCCAGCCGCCGCCGUAAGAC